CACGUAGGACCAAGCGUUGUCCGGAUUCAUUGGCGUAAAGAGCUCGUAGGCGGUUCAGUAAGUCGGUGUGAACCUCCAGCUCAACCUGGAGACGCCACCGAUACUGCUGUGACUAGAGUCCAGUAGAGCGUGGAAUCCUGGUGUAGCGUGAAUGCGCAGAUAUCAGAGGAACACCAGCGCGAAGGCGGCGCUCUGCUGGAACUGACGCUGAGGAGCGAAGCGUGAGCGAACAGG
rnacentral:rRNA from 1 species